GUCGGGUACGGUGAUAUUUGUCCGACCACGUUCAUGGGUAAAAUCGUGGGCAGCGUGUGCUGCAUUUGCGGGGUAUUGGUCAUUGCACUGCCUAUUCCCAUCAUCGUUAAUAAC
rfam:Strigamia maritima strain Brora ctg7180001230340, whole genome shotgun sequence.